UACGGAAGGCAGCAGUGGGGAAUAUUGCACAAUGGGCGAAAGCCUGAUGCAGCUAUGCCGCGUGUAUGAAGAAGGCCUUAGGGUUGUAAAGUACUUUCAUCGGGGAGGAAAAACAAAACUAAUAAUUUUAUUUCUUGACGUUACCCGAAAAAGAAGCACCGGCUAACUCCGUGCCAGCAGCCGCGGUAAUACGGAGGGUGCUAGCGUUAAUCAGAAUUACUGGGCGUAAAGAGCACGUAGGCGGUUUUUUUAAGUCAGAUGUGAAAUCCCUGGGCUUAACCUGGAACUGCAUUUUGAAACUGAAAUACUAGAGUAUCGUAGAGGGAGGUAGAAUUCUAGGUGUAGCGGUGAAAUGCGUAGAUAUCUGGAGGAAUACCUGUGGCGAAAGCGGCCUCCUAAACGAAUACUGACACUGAGGUGCGAAAGCGUGGGGAGCAAACAGGGAUUAGAUACC
rnacentral:rRNA from 1 species